ACGAAGUAUCUACGGACCUGACGUAGUAUUCGGCGGACGGGUGAGUACGCGUAGGAAUCUACCCUAGAUAGAAGGGGAUACGCCCGGGGACACACUCGGAUAAAUACCGUAUACCUCCUUCGGGAGACAAGCAGGCCUCUCAUUGAAAGCUUUCGCUACUAGAUGAGCCUGCGUAAGAUUAGCUUGUUGGUGAGGUAAAGGCUCACCAAGGCGACCGAUCUUUAACGGGUCUGAGAGGACGAUCCGCCACAUUGGGACUGAGACACGGCCCAGACUCCUACGGGAGGCCGCAGUGGGGAAUAUAGGACACUGGGCGCACGCCUGAUCCAGACAUACCGCGUGUGUGAAGAAGGCCCUAGGGUUUGUAAAAGCACCUUUAAGUAGGGAAGAAAAGUUAUAGGUAAAUAUCCACUAGCCGUGACAUUACCAUCAGAAUCAAGACCGGCUACUACCGUGCCAGCAGACGCGGUAAUACGGCAGGUCCAAGAGUAAAUCGGAAUUACUUGGGCGUAGAGCGCGCGUCGGUGGCAUCUUACGUCGGAAUGUGAAAUCCCCCGGGCUCACACUGGGAACUGCAUCCAAACCAGCUUCACUACAGUAA
rnacentral:rRNA from 1 species